CCUACGGGUUGCAGCAGUGGGGAAUCUUGGACAAUGGGCGCAAGCCUGAUCCAGCCAUGCCGCGUGUGAUGAAGGCCUUAGGGUCGUAAAGCACUUUCGCCUGUGAUGAUAAUGACAGUAGCAGGUAAAGAAACCCCGGCUAACUCCGUGCCAGCAGCCGCGGUAAUACGGAGGGGGUUAGCGUUGUUCGGAAUUACUGGGCGUAAAGCGCGCGUAGGCGGACAUUUAAGUCAGAGGUGAAAUCCCGGGGCUCAACCCCGGAACGGCCUUUGAUACUGGGUGUCUUGAGUUCGAGAGAGGUGAGGGGAAUUCCGAGUGUAGAUGUGAAAUUCGUAGAUAUUCGGAGGAACACCAGUGGCGAAGGCGGCUCACUGGCUCGAUACUGACGCUGAGGUGCGAAAGUGUUGGGAGCAAACAGGAUUAGAUACCCGAGUAGUC
rnacentral:rRNA from 1 species